UACGUAGGGGGCAAGCGUUGUCAGGAUUUAUUGGGCGUAAAGCGCGUGUAGGUGGCCAAGUAGGUCCGCUGUGAAAACUUGAGGCUCAACCUCAAGCUGUCGGUGGAAACCCCUUGGCUAGAGUCCGGAAGAGGAGAGUGGAAUUCCUGGUGUAGCGGUGAAAUGCGCAGAUAUCAGGAAGAACACCAAUGGCGAAGGCAGCUCUCUGGGACGGUACUGACACUGAGACGCGAAAGCGUGGGGAGCGAACAGG
rnacentral:rRNA from 1 species